UACGGGGGGGGGCAAGCGUUGUUCGGAAUUACUGGGCGUAAAGGGCGCGUAGGCGGCCUGCUAAGUCGGAUGUGAAAUCCCUCGGCUCAACCGAGGAACUGCAUCCGAUACUGGCGGGCUUGAAUCCGGGAGAGGGAUGUGGAAUUCCAGGUGUAGCGGUGAAAUGCGCAGAUAUCAGGAGGAACACCGGUGGCGAAGGCGGGACUCUGGGCCGAUACUGACGCUGAGGAGCGAAAGCGUGGGGGAGCGAACAGG
rnacentral:rRNA from 1 species